rnacentral:rRNA from 1 species
AACGAACGCUGGCGGCGUGGAUAAGACAUGCAAGUCGAACGAGAGAAUUGCUAGCUUGCUAAUAAUUCUCUAGUGGCGCACGGGUGAGUAACACGUGAGUAACCUGCCCCCGAGAGCGGGAUAGCCCUGGGAAACUGGGAUUAAUACCGCAUAGUAUCGAAAGAUUAAAGCAGCAAUGCGCUUGGGGAUGGGCUCGCGGCCUAUUAGUUAGUUGGUGAGGUAACGGCUCACCAAGGCGAUGACGGGUAGCCGGUCUGAGAGGAUGUCCGGCCACACUGGAACUGAGACACGGUCCAGACACCUACGGGUGGCAGCAGUCGAGAAUCAUUCACAAUGGGGGAAACCCUGAUGGUGCGACGCCGCGUGGGGAAAUGAAGGUCUUCGGAUUGUAAACCCCUGUCAUGUGGGAGCAAAUUAAAAAGAUAGUACCACAAGAGGAAGAGACGGCUAAACUCUGUGCCAGCAGCCGCGGUAAUAACAGAGGUCUCAAGCGUUGUUCGGAAUCACUGGGCGUAAAACCGUGCGUCGGCUGUUUCGUCCGUCGUGUGGGAAAGGGGGCGGGCUCCUCCCCGCGAACGGCCACAUGAUAUUGGAGGACUAGGGUAAUGGAGGGGGGGCCGGNNUUCUCGGUGUUGCCGGGAAAUGGGUAGGAUAUUGGGAGGAACACUCGUGGCGAAGGGGGGUUCCUGGUCCUUCUCUGUCGCUGUGGCCCGCCGGCCGGGGGCGCGAAAGAAAUUAGAUACCCCCGUAGUCCUGGCAGUAAACGGUGCACGCUUGGUGUGCGGGGAAUCGACCCCCCGCGUGCCGGAGCUAACGCGUUAAGCGUGCCGCCUGGGGAGUACGGUCGCAAGAUUAAAACUCAAAGAAAUUGACGGGGACCCGCACAAGCGGUGGAGUAUGUGGCUUAAUUCGAUGCAACGCGAAGAACCUUACCUGGGCUUGACAUGUAAUGAACAACAUGUGAAAGCAUGCGACUCUUCGGAGGCGUUACACAGGUGCUGCAUGGCCGUCGUCAGCUCGUGUCGUGAGAUGUUUGGUUAAGUCCAGCAACGAGCGCAACCCCUGUUGCCAGUUACCAGCACGUGAAGGUGGGGACUCUGGCGAGACUGCCCAGAUCAACUGGGAGGAAGGUGGGGAGGACGUCAGGUCAGUAUGGCCCUUAUGCCCAGGGCUGCACACGUACUACAAUGCCCAGUACAGAGGGGGCCGAAGCCGCGAGGCGGAGGAAAUCCUGAAAACUGGGCCCAGUUCGGACUGUAGGCUGCAACCCGCCUACACGAAGCCGGAAUCGCUAGUAAUGGCGCAUCAGCUACGGCGCCGUGAAUACGUUCCCGGGUCUUGUACA